rnacentral:rRNA from 1 species
GGUGACCAGCGGAGGGAUCAUUA